rnacentral:rRNA from 1 species
AGGGAAACCGAGUCUUAACUGGGCGUUAAGUUGCAGGGUAUAGACCCGAAACCCGGUGAUCUAGCCAUGGGCAGGUUGAAGGUUGGGUAACACUAACUGGAGGACCGAACCGACUAAUGUUGAAAAAUUAGCGGAUGACCUGUGGCUGGGGGUGAAAGGCCAAUCAAACCGGGAGAUAGCUGGUUCUCCCCGAAAGCUAUUUAGGUAGCGCCUCGUGAACUCAUCUUCGGGGGUAGAGCACUGUUUCGGCUAGGGGGCCAUCCCGGCUUACCAACCCGAUGCAAACUACGAAUACCGAAGAAUGUUAUCACGGGAGACACACGGCGGGUGCUAACGUCCGUCGUGAAGAGGGAAACAACCCAGACCGCCAGCUAAGGUCCCAAAGUCAUGGUUAAGUGGGAAACGAUGUGGGAAGGCACAGACAGCCAGGAUGUUGGCUUAGAAGCAGCCAUCAUUUAAAGAAAGCGUAAUAGCUCACUGGUCGAGUCGGCCUGCGCGGAAGAUGUAACGGGGCUAAACCAUGCACCGAAGCUGCGGCAGCGACGCUAUGUGUUGUUGGGUAGGGGAGCGUUCUGUAAGCCGUCGAAGGUGUGCUGUGAGGCAUGCUGGAGGUAUCAGAAGUGCGAAUGCUGACAUAAGUAACGAUAAAGCGGGUGAAAAGCCCGCUCGCCGGAAGACCAAGGGUUCCUGUCCAACGUUAAUCGGGGCAGGGUGAGUCGACCCCUAAGGCGAGGCCGAAAGGCGUAGUCGAUGGGAAACAGGUUAAUAUUCCUGUACUUGGUGUUACUGCGAAGGGGGGACGGAGAAGGCUAUGUCAGCCGGGCGACGGUUGUCCCGGUUUAAGCGUGUAGGUGUGUGUUCCAGGCAAAUCCGGUUCACUUUAACACUGAGGCGUGAUGACGAGGCACUACGGUGCUGAAGUGAUAAAUGCCCUGCUUCCAGGAAAAGCCUCUAAGCAUCAGGUAACA